UGAACGCUGGCGGAAUGCUUUACACAUGCAAGUCGAACGGCAGCACGGAGAGCUUGCUCUCUGGUGGCGAGUGGCGAACGGGUGAGUAAUAUAUCGGAACGUGUCCAAUAAUGGGGGAUAACGAGUCGAAAGAUUCGCUAAUACCGCAUACGCCCUACGGGGGAAAGCAGGGGAUCGUAAGACCUUGCGUUAAUGGAGCGGCCGAUAUCUGAUUAGCUAGUUGGUGAGGUAAAGGCUCACCAAGGCGACGAUCAGUAGCUGGUUUGAGAGAACGACCAGCCACACUGGAACUGAGACACGGUCCAGACUCCUACGGGAGGCAGCAGUGGGAAUUUUGGACAAUGGGCGAAAGCCUGACGCAGCAACGCCGCGUGGGUGAUGAAGGUCUUCGGAUUGUAAAACCCUGUCGUUAGGGACGAAGGCAUGAAUCCUAAUACGAUUCAUGUUUGACGGUACCUAGAAGGAACGCCCGGCUAACUCUGUGCCAGCA
rnacentral:rRNA from 1 species